UGAGUCGGUCAGGCGGUCGCGUCAGCUGAGCUUCGGCUCGGUUGCCGAGGAACGUCCGGGCUCCAGAGGGCAAGGUGGUGGCUAACGGCCACCCGGAGUGAUCCGCGGGACAGUGCCACAGAAAACAGACCGCCUCGCGGUCCAGCCGGCUUCGGCCGAAGGGGCGGCGCGGUAAGGGUGAAACGGUGGUGUAAGAGACCACCAGCACUCCAGGUGACUGGAGUGGCUAGGUAAACCCCACCUGGAGCAAGCUCAGACAGCAGGCGACCGAGGACGGCCCGUCCGAUGUCUGCGGGUAGAGCGCUAGAGCCGGCCAGCAAUGGCCGGCCGAGAUGGAUGACCGUCGCUGCGUCGCUGGUAACGGUGGCGCGGAACAGGACCCGGCGUAUCGACCGACUCAUCCA
rnacentral:RNase_P_RNA from 1 species